CCUACGGGGUGCUGCAGUGGGGAAUAUUGGACAAUGGGCGAAAGCCUGAUCCAGCCAUGCCGCGUGUGUGAAGAAGGCCUUCGGGUUGUAAAGCACUUUCAGUGGGGAAGAAAGCCUUGGGGCUAAUACCCUCGAGGAAGGACAUCACCCACAGAAGAAGCACCGGCUAACUCCGUGCCAGCAGCCGCGGUAAUACGGAGGGUGCGAGCGUUAAUCGGAAUUACUGGGCGUAAAGCGCGCGUAGGCGGUCUGAUAAGCCGGUUGUGAAAGCCCCGGGCUCAACCUGGGAACGGCAUCCGGAACUGUCAGGCUAGAGUGCAGGAGAGGAAGGUAGAAUUCCCGGUGUAGAGGUGAAAUGCGUAGAGAUCGGGAGGAAUACCAGUGGCGAAGGCGGCCUUCUGGACUGACACUGACGCUGAGGUGCGAAAGCGUGGGUAGCAAACAGGAUUAGAUACCCGUGUAGUC
rnacentral:rRNA from 1 species